rnacentral:misc_RNA from 1 species
CUGCAUCCACCAUUGGCCAGUCCACACCCAAGCGAAUUGGUGUGUCGUGAAGGAUGGUAUUUGGAUUCGUGAUAUAUCCCAUUUUUAUAUAUGUGACCCGUGGAAGAUAAGAGAGGGUGGUGCACCAACUCGUGGACAUGCCACGAAUCUUUUUAUUUUUGUUUUGCAUGUGAUGAUGUGUUAGAAGAGCGCGGGGAACAAGGCGAACUCCCAGAAGUCGGCGAAGGGAAGCCGCGCUCAGCCAUACCUACCUACGAUGUUCACUUGCUGUUUGUCGGAAGAAGCUAUACAGCAAAUUAGAAUAAACCAGGAAAUUGAGAAGCAGCUGAAGAGGGACAAGAGAGAUGCAAGAAGGGAGCUUAAACUACUGUUGUUGGGAACGGGAGAGUCCGGGAAGUCGACGUUUAUCAAACAGAUGCGCAUCAUCCAUGGCGUCGGAUAUACGGACGAGGAUCGGCGCGGCUUCACCAAGCUCGUCUAUCAGAACAUCUUCAUGGCCAUGCAGAGCAUGAUAAACGCCAUGGAGAAGCUAAAAAUUGAGUACAAACAACCGGAAAACAAGGAGCGGGCCGCGUUCGUCGAGUCGGUGGACCACGAGACCAUCACCAAGUUCGAGGAGCCGUACGUGUCAUCCAUUCGGGAGCUGUGGAAGGACGCGGGCGUACAGCGCUGCUACGAGCGACGCAACGAGUACCAGCUCACCGACUCCACAAAAUACUACCUUACCGACCUGGAUCGGAUAGCCGGAAGGGACUACCUGCCCACCCAGCAGGACAUCCUUCGCGUGCGAGCGCCCACCACGGGUAUCGUCGAGUACCCGUUCGACCUCGACUCCAUUAUAUUCAGGAUGGUGGACGUGGGCGGACAGCGGUCCGAGAGGAGAAAGUGGAUACACUGCUUCGAAAACGUCACCUCAAUCAUCUUCCUGGUGGCGCUCAGCGAGUACGAUCAGAUCCUGUUCGAGUCGGACAACGAGAACCGCAUGGAAGAGUCAAAGGCACUGUUCCGCACCAUCAUCACGUAUCCUUGGUUCCAACACUCGUCCGUCAUACUCUUCCUCAACAAGAAGGACCUGCUGGAGGAGAAGAUCAUGACGUCCCAUCUCGUCGACUACUUCCCCGAGUAUGACGGGCCCCAGCGUGACGCGAUCGCCGCGCGUGAGUUCAUCCUGCGGAUGUUCGUCGACCUCAACCCAGACGCCGAGAAGAUAAUCUAUUCUCAUUUCACGUGUGCAACAGACGGGUGCGCUGAAGUCGACUCAACAUGGCGGACGGCCGCGGACGCGCCACCCAGCUGCCGCUGCGUCUGCUGGUGGCGGCCGCCAUCUUGGUCAGCACUGACUGUGUGAACUACCGCGAAAAGGAGAAGCGCAUUUUGGACGAGAUUCUUACGGGCGGAGUCGGUAACUCGAGUGGCUACGAUAAGAGGAUCCGCCCGUACGGGGUGAACGGCAGCUCAGUGGAUCCCGCCACCGUAGUGUCAGUCAACCUGCUCAUCAGGUCAAUCAGUAAAAUAGAUGACUACA